rnacentral:rRNA from 1 species
CUGCCAGACUCCUACGGGAGGCAGCAGUGGGGAAUAUUGCACAAUGGGGGAAACCCUGAUGCAGCGACGCCGCGUGAGUGAAGAAGUAUUUCGGUAUGUAAAGCUCUAUCAGCAGGGAAGAAAAUGACGGUACCUGACCAAGAAGCCCCGGCUAACUACGUGCCAGCAGCCGCGGUAAUACGUAGGGGGCAAGCGUUAUCCGGAUUUACUGGGUGUAAAGGGAGCGUAGACGGCUGAGCAAGUCAGAAGUGAAAGCCCGGGGCUCAACCCCGGGACUGCUUUUGAAACUGCGGAGCUGGAGUGCAGGAGAGGUAAGCGGAAUUCCUGGUGUAGCGGUGAAAUGCGUAGAUAUCAGGAGGAACACCAGUGGCGAAGGCGGCUUACUGGACUGUAACUGACGUUGAGGCUCGAAAGCGUGGGGAGCAAACAGGAUUAGAUACCCUUGUACG